AUUACACUGUAUCCUCUAGCACUGCUGGGGGGUGGGGAGGGGCUAUCUGGGUCAGAGGACGUGAAUAUUCUGGUCUCUUUUGCAGAUAAAUGCCUAAAAGAAACACCAUGCAUAGGAUAUUACACGCCAUUCUUAACUCCAUAAUAACCAAGCAAACUUAGCAUAGCAUUUUAACUUGCUAUACAGGCUUUUGCAUAGCAGAGAAUAGACACUCCAACUAGCAGACAUUAGCCCUGAGCUAACUACUGCCAGUCCCCCUCUUUUUGCUGAGGAAGCCUGGCCCUGAGCUGACACCCGUGCCCAUCUUCCUCUACUUUCUAUGUGGGAUGCCUACCACAGCAUGGCGUGCCAAGCGGCGCCAUGUCCGCACCCGGGAUCCGAACCGGCGAACCCUGGGCUGCUGAGAAGCAGAACGUCACUGUGAGCAAAAUUUGCC
rnacentral:lncRNA from 1 species